rnacentral:miRNA from 1 species
AUCGUGUCUGCAAGUUUGCU